GCCAGUCCAGACACAGUAUGGACAUGAGGGUCCCAGCUCAGCUCCUGGGGCUCUUGCUGCUCUGGUUCCCAGGUGUACUAUGUGACAUCCAGAUGACCCAAUCUCCAUCCUACCUGUCUGCCUCUUUAGGAGACACGGUCACCAUCACUUGCCAGGCCAGUCAGAGCGUUAGCAGUUACUUAAACUGGUAUCAGCAGAAACCAGGGAAAGCUCCUACUCUCUUGAUCUAUAAUAGUAACAAUUUGCAAUCUGAGGUCUCAUCGAGGUUCAGUGGCAGUGGAUCCAGGACAGAUUUUACUCUUUCCAUCAGCAACUUGGAGCCUGAAGAUGUUGCAACUUAUUACUGUCUACAGCAUAAUAGUUCCCCUCCCACAGUGAUACAAGCCAUAACAUAA